GAUGAAGAACGUAGCGAAAUGCGAUAAGUAAUGUGAAUUGCAGAAUUCAGUGAAUCAUCGAAUCUUUGAACGCACAUUGCGCCCGCCAGCAUUCUGGCGGGCAUGCCUGUUCGAGCGUCAUUUCAACCCUCAAGCUCUGCUUGGUGUUGGGGCCCUACGGUUGACGUAGGCCCUUAAAGGUAGUGGCGGACCCUCUCGGAGCCUCCUUUGCGUAGUAACUAACGUCUCGCAUUGGGAUUCGGAGGGACUCUUGCCGUAAAACCCCCAAAUUUUCUAAUGGUUGACCUCGGAUCAGGUAGGAAUACCCGCUGAACUUAAGCAUAUCAAUAAGCGGAGGU
rnacentral:misc_RNA from 1 species